ACUCUUAAGCUAGAUUUUGG
rnacentral:snRNA from 1 species